UAGAUUACAAACUAAUAAAAACCAUCCUUAUUUAUCCUUCUAUGUCCACGUACUCUCCUCGUUCAAGUCUAAUACCUACAACCAUAUAUAUAGAUAUAUAAUGUAAGAGUCAAUUUCCUUUUCAAAAUUAUGCCGAUUGAAAGGUAAAUAUAUAUAAUAAAAUAAAUAAAUUUGAUGCAAGAAACCCAUUUUAAUAAUAAUAUACAAAUUAAUAAUGCUUGAAAUACAACUAGAUCAUGAUUCGGAUAUCGCCCCAAUUAGCUUAAUCGCCUCAUAUGCAACUCAAAACAAAUUGCGCGAUUUGCCAAUUACUAAUAAAAUCGCUUCAAUUGGCACAUAGUAACAACUAGCCCAUUUGGCACCAAUGACAACAACUAUAUGCCAUGCUAUGCAUACUAUACACACUUUCUUUUAAAAUCAUCACUAUUUCCAACUCAUUUGAAAAUUUAAAACUUUCCUUUAAAACUCCACAUCAUUUUGCAAAAGCCAAUCAACCACAAAAAAAAAUAAAUAAUCAUAGAAUAAAAUAUAUAAUCAGUCACACACAUAACUCACAAUAUAUUAAAAUAGCAUGAAAUGUUAUAAAAUUAGUUCUUUGUCAUUCCUUCUUAACAGUAAAAUAUUCCGUUAUUAAUUCAAAACAUAAACCCUAUGUGCAUGAGUGUACGACGAAAAUGCCCUCGCUUUGGCCACUUCUAUUGUGUCUUGUUUCUAUAGUGGUUUAGCAACAAACAUAAUCAAAUUCGAAUUUUGGAUGAGAAAGUUAUUCCGUAACAUUUUAGUGUUGCUCUCAAAUCUCCUAUAUUUUUAUCAUGGAAUUUUACUCUAGUAAUGUUCAAAU
rnacentral:lncRNA from 1 species